rnacentral:rRNA from 1 species
CCCUUAGAUGUUCUGGGCCGCACGCGCGCUACACUGAUGCAUUCAACGAGCCUAUCCUUGACCGACAGGUCCGGGUAAUCUUUGAAUCUGCAUCGUGACGGGGAUAGAUUAUUGCAAUUAUUAAUCUUCAACGAGGAAUGCCUAGUAGGCGCAAGUCAUCAGCUUGCGUCGAUUACGUCCCUGCCCUUUGUACACACCGCCCGUCGCUCCUACCGAUUGGGUGUGCUGGUGAAAUGUUCGGAUCGGCAGUUUGUCGCGGUUUCCGCGUCAUGUGGCUGAGAAGUUCAUUAAACCCUCCCACCUAGAGGAAGGAGAAGUCGUAACA